rnacentral:lncRNA from 1 species
ACCUGAACCAAUUCAUCCACCUGGCCCUGGCACUGGCCAGCAAAUACCAGCCUCGUGACUCGUUACUCAAAGGUGCUGUUAUGGAAGUGCUGCCUACCAUGUUCUAUGAAAAUUCGCACUCUGAAGAUACUCCACUUCAUAACUGUGGACACUUACUUGGCCCAAGAAACUGCUGUGUGUGCAGGUGCUACCUGGCCCUCUUUAUGUCACCUUGUGGGGAUUGAGCUUUGGAGAACCAGCACAAGAAAAUGCUGCUAUUCUGGCUAUUGCUAAUGUCAGGGCAUUUUUCUCAGAUCUUCAACGUGAGAACCGGGUGGGAUUCCUGGUUGCUCCGUCUCCAGCAGUUGUCAAAACGACUAUAUGUGUUCCUACCAAUUUAUGACUGCAGGGGUUUCUGUUCUAGGGUUGAUUUCUCAGUCAUCAGAACGGAUGUUCCCGAGUAUGUGUGGAAUACAAUAGCACAGUUUUCCAGCAAUGUAAAUUAUGUGCCCUGCCUGCAGCUGAAAGGAUAAGCAUGGUUCUCUUCUACCUUUAUUCUACUCGAAACCUCUGGGAUGCCUCCAAGGGUGUUAC